UGUAGAUAUGACACUCCAUUAGUUCCACCGAAAUGGUACAUGCAUCCUGGAUGGAGCUGAUGCAUACAUAUCCUUUUAAUUCCUUUUCCUUUUUGUACAUUUAAAUAAAAAAAUACCAAUCUUGACUCUGGCCAAGAGCCGGUCGUUUGUUAUUGUUAUGGUAUAAAUGGUAUAUUAGAAAGGAGUGGCCAGAGCACAUAUUUGUUAUUGUUAUGGAAAUACAAGUGUUGUCACUGUAAAUACAAAAGGAGUGGGCAGAGUGCAUCUCACCCAUUCCAUGUACAUGAAGGUAGUUUCCUUUUACUUAUGAUUGCCUGGAUCAAAACAACUUACUUUCAUUCCUAAAUUGGAUGUAUUUGGCAUACUUCAGGCGGUUCCCUUGUGGUGCAACAACAAUGUUCCUUGCUACCAGCAAAUCAUAUCCAAAUGGAUAGACCCGGAGUGGAGGGCCCAACAUCGAAUGGCUUCCGAGCGGCGUGCCUUGAUGGGUGGUCCGGUACACCUUCAAGGCAACCUCAGCCUCCACGCUUACGUGCAGAAGAAGAAUAGGGAGAGAGGUGAGGGCCAAGAGAAGCUCAAUACCUUCACGGGAUUAUGUCUCUCCCGCAAGUCAAAGAAACCGGAAGGGGGUGGGUCAACCCAGGCGCUGGCUUGAGGAUUGAUGCAUACAGUGGGAAGUUCAAGGAGCACAACGGGCCUGACUCUGAUCCGGCCUCACAGGACAUUGACGCUACAAUUUCCCUCCAGUCGGGAGAUGUCAAGAAGGGUGGUCGGUUAUAUGUUGGCGACGGUGCCAUCCAUAAGAAGGACAUCCAAAAACUCUCUCACCUCCGUGCUACCACGUCGAGCUCAGGUCCUGCUAUAGAGCGUCGCCCACAGCUUGGGCUGCACAUGCUUCAUCAACUCGAGGCCAAUGCCAGGCUUCGAGAGGAGCAAGCCAUGAAAAUGCAGCAGGCUUUCAACAGCAAGAAUUCAUGGUUAAACAACAGGCAAUCCUGCAAGAGACAUUUGCUCAACUCAGAAAUAAUAUGCAGGGUUCCACUUUGC